UAUGUAGACAUGCAGACAAACGAACGUCAGGGACUCAAAUAAUGGGAAUAAUAUUAGUUGUUUUUUUUUUUCAGAGAGGAUAAAGAACACAAUACUGUGAGUACUGUGAUAGUCUAUAUGUGUUGCACCACCGUUCAUUUAAAUACGAGUCGCUGAAAAACCUCACAAAAACAUUUAGCCUCUCCUGAGCAUUUUCCAUUAGAUGCUAGCAUCAAGUUGUUUUGCUUGACUAUAUUACAUACACAAAGUGUUAUUCUUUUAGUUUUAUGUUUAGUUUGACAAUCAGCGUCAACUGAAAUUGGUAUUAAAUACCGUCAAGCAACGUUCACGUUCGUUCAACUAACUGCUGCCUUUUGUGGGGUGAGUCGAAUUGAGUUCAUUGGCAUCAUACAGCACUUUUAUCACAA